rnacentral:RNase_P_RNA from 1 species
CAAGCAAGCUAUGCGGUCUGAACGCUCAUGCGUUAGGAAAGUCCGGGCAUCACAGAGCAGGGCAGCUGCUAACGGCAGCCGAGGGCGACCUUAGGGAAAGUGCAACAGAAAAUUACCGCCCGCAAGGGUAAGGGUGAAAAGGCGAGGCAAGAGCUCACCGGGGCACGGGAGACCGUGCUGCCGUGUAAACCCUGUCCGAUGCAACGCCUAUUGGUACAGUCAAGAUGAUGUUUGCUCGACAGUCUUGCUGUAAUGGCGGCUAAAGUGUUACGGCGACGUUUCACUCAGAUAGAUGACCGCACACGACAAAACCCGGCUUAUCGGCUUGGUUGCCAC